CACGUAGGGCGCAAGCGUUGUCCGGAAUUAUUGGGCGUAAAGAGCUCGUAGGCGGUCUGUUACGUCUGCUGUGAAAACCCAGGGCUUAACCCUGGGCUUGCAGUGGAUACGGGCAGACUAGAGGCAGGUAGGGGAGAAUGGAAUUCCCGGUGUAGCGGUGAAAUGCGCAGAUAUCGGGAGGAACACCGGUGGCGAAGGCUGUUCUCUGGGCCUGACCUGACGCUGAGGAGCGAAAGCGUGGGGAGCGAACAGG
rnacentral:rRNA from 1 species